rnacentral:rRNA from 1 species
AUGUACAUGGAUAUAAUGUUAAUGCAGCGAAUCCCAUUAGAAAUCCAUAGUUAAGUGCACUUAGGAUAGACUAGUACUAGGAUGGGUGACCUCCUGGGAAGUCUUAGUGUUUUACAUG